CGCAAUGGCGGCAAUAAACAAACGAAGCGGAUACGUUGAAGGAAAAACUUCUUUAUUUCUUUCUUACCGUUAUGUAGACCAGUGAAAAUAAUGAACAACGAUUAAUCGCAUAAAUCCCAUGAAGAAUAGAAAACUGAAAGUAGGGCAAACAUAGAUCCCUGGACAUAUCAGAGGUGAGGUCAGACAGAUCAUGAGAUGGAAACCAAUGUAAUUGAGACGAAAAGGGAGUACAACUCGAAAUAUCAAGGAAAAACAAGAAAGGCCUUUGUAAUCAGCAGAUGAUGUCCUAUACAACCAUCCUUCCAUGACACAUGCAAUGGGAAGUUUAUUUCAGGAAACAAAGCCUGUGUGAAACUCCAAAAUGACUGUGGUAGUGUGAGUGAUAUGGCAUUCCUACUAGCUCUGGCUAGUGGGUUAACCCUUUAGCUCGAUUGGUAGAGUGCUGGACUUUAGUGUCAGAGACCCGGGUUCAAAUCCCAUCAGAGGCAUAAAAUUGUCUCUGUUACAUUUGGCGCCCACGUUGGGACCUGGGUUAUCUCUGGCGGGUGAGAGAUAUUGUCUUCAGUACUUCGCCCCACAGGUGUUGGCACUCCGGAAGAGUCAGGGACGACUCUUAAAAAGGAGGGGGACAAUGUGGUAGUGUGAGUGAUAUGGCAUUCCUACUAGCUCUGGCUAGUGGGUUAACCCUUUAGCUCGAUUGGUAGAGUGCUGGACUUUAGUGUCAGAGACCCGGGUUCAAAUCCCAUCAGAGGCAUAAAAUUGUCUCUGUUACAUGACAUUUCCAGAAAGCUGAAGAAUGGAUAAAAAUGUAUCUACCAUCUUACAACCCAGAUUUCAUUCCACUGAAAAGAAAAGGGACAGGAAAUUUUGCAUGUCCAUGUCUUGAAAGGUGAAUAGCUGGAAAGUCAAUAGAUGCUUACCAUAUCAGAUGCUUGCAGAGGAUACUGGGGAUAAAGUAGCAGAAAAUUAUGGAAAACAGGGAAGUGGCAGCCAGGACUAUGGAGGGGAGGUGACAAUGACAGUGAGAUGGCGUUAGGUUAGACACCAGAAGGGAAGAGGGCAUUUAAGAGACCGAAAACAACCUGGAGAGGAACAGUAGAAGCAGAAAGAAAGAUUGCAGAAUGGAGAAACUUGAAUGAGAUCAAGAUGGUAGCAAUAGAAGAGAGUGGAUUGGAGAGAGUCUCAGUCCUGUGUUUUGGCAUGGAGAGAACUAAGUAAUGUCUAGAUUGUUGGAGAUGGAUGACCAGGAAUAUGAAUGGAUGUGAUGGAAACUGUACUAAGACCCUUAUGUAUUUGGGCUCGAAAUAAAGGACACCACAGAGUCGUCCACUUCUGCUUCAUACUUAGAUAUUUUAUUGAAAGUAGACAUUAACGGCAAACUAACAACUCAACUGUAUGACAAACGGGAUGAUUUCAGCUUCUCCAUCGUCAACUUCCCAUAUUUAUGUAGCAAUAUUCCAUUAUCACCUGCAUAUGGUGUUUAUAUAUCUCAACUGAUUCGAUAUGCAAGAGCUUGUUCUGGGUAUAGUCAGUUUUUAAAUCGAGGUAAGCUACUGACAAACAAGUUGAUGGUACAGGGAUUUCAACAGUCUCGAUUGAAGUCAGCAUUUCGCAAAUUCUAUGGUCGUUAUAACGAUCUAGUUCGUCAAUACAACCUCGCAUUGGGUCAAAUGCUGUCUGACGUGUUUCAUACCGAUUGUUAAGCCGUUCUUGGCACACUGAUUUUGACUGCGGAUAACUCCGUUUACCUGAUCAGGAUAUAGGGCUCACGGCUGGUGUGUCCAGGGGUCCGUGUUUGCCCAACUAUCUAUUUUGUAUUGCUUGUAGGAGUUAUGAGAUUGAUCACUGUUCGUUAUCUUCACCUUGCAUAUAUACAAUUAAGAGCAUUAAAUUAGCCUAUUGUU